rnacentral:lncRNA from 1 species
AAUAACCAAAAACCAAAACAAACCAGUGAAACAAAAGAACAUAAGCUAAGCCAAAAAGAGAUAAAGAUAAUAAAUAAACAGGGAAUAUAUACAAGGGAAGAAACUAGAAAUAAACAAGGAAGAAAACUAUAAACGAGAAAACAAGAAAUAAACAAGGAACUAAGGCUAUGAGAGAACAAGGAAACACUGAGAAAAGCUAUUAAACACUGAGAGAGACAAACGACAGGUGAAGGUGCGAAGACCGACGGAGGACAAGUGACAGAGGAGGGCUAUUUAACCAAACAGGACACACACUAGAAUUGGAAACACCUGGGGAAGGGGCGGAGCUACAAAUGAGACAUGUGGUGGAAAACUACUGACAGGAGACACAGAGGAGCACAGGUCACGUGGGAAUAACACACAGAGACAUGAGACAAGACCAGGACGUGACAGGGAGAAGGAUUGGCCUGUGGCUUCUGGAGGACAGUGGUUGGCACUAAGGGCAGCACCGCGGAGGCAGCUGCCGGAGUGGCCUGUGGAGAAGCAGACCGAGUGCCAGGAGUUUGGAGAUCCAGUGACUACAGGAUGCUGUAGAUGGAGACCCAGGUCUAUCACAUUGCUGAUGGCUACAUGGAUUCUGGCAGUGAGGAGUAAU